CAGCAGCCACGGUAAUACGUAGGGUGCGAGCGUUAAUCGGAAUUACUGGGCGUAAAGCGUGCGCAGGCGGUUAUAUAAGACAGAUGUGAAAUCCCCGGGCUCAACCUGGGACCUGCAUUUGUGACUGUAUAGCUAGAGUACGGUAGAGGGGGAUGGAAUUCCGCGUGUAGCAGUGAAAUGCGUAGAUAUGCGGAGGAACACCGAUGGCGAAGGCAAUCCCCUGGACCUGUACUGACGCUCAUGCACGAAAGCGUGGGGAGCAAACAGGAUUAGAUACCCCAGUAGUCCCUGUCUCUUAUAC
rnacentral:rRNA from 1 species